GUAAUGUGCAUAACCAAGACAUCAUAGCUCAACCAACAUCUCUUCUGUUUGUUUUUAUUGGAGACAAUGUGACUCUACAAUGCUUCUAUCCUAAAAAUAUAAAAUAUAUGUCAUGGUAUAAGCAAACUACCGGCCAGGAACUCCAACUUAUAUCACACCAAUACACAUAUAGUAGUAACAACCUUUAUGGUGAAUUUGAGAACAAUCCUCGAUUUUCAGUACAGCUUGAUGAAGGGAUAUAUCACCUUCAAAUCAAUGACACUCAGCCAUCUGAUUCAGCUAUGUAUUUCUGUGGAAGAUCACAACUAAGUAAGAUGACUUUUGAAGAUACAGGAACUUUACUUGUUUUCAGAGACUAAAAGCAUGAGAAUUGUCCAGCAGCCAGUGUCUGAGUCCAUCCAGCCAGGAGGCUCUGUUACUCUGAACUGUACAAUACACACUGAGACCUGUGCUGAAGAACACAGUGUCUAUUGGUUCAGACAUGGCUCAGGAGAAUCCCGUCCAGGAAUCCUUUACACCCAUGGAGGCAGGAGUGAUCAGUGUGAGAAGAGCCCUGAGGCUGGGUCUCCUACACAGAGCUGUGUCUACAACCUCCCCAAGAGGAACCUCAGCCUCUCUGAUGCUGGGACUUACUACUGUGCUGUGGUCUCAUGUGGGGAGAUACUGUUCGGAGAGGGAACCAAGCUGUAUAUCUGUGAUCCAUGUAACAGCAAUCAUCUGCUGGUGUGUUUCCUCGGUGGUGGAUUAGCGGUUUCAUUAAUGCUGAUUAUUGUCCUGUCCUGGAUUAUCCACAAGAUGAAAACAUGUCUGAAAUGUACAGUGAAUAACCCAAUGCCAAGUGUCCCGCCGGCCCAAAGAUCUAAUAGCCAGGAUGACGAGGUUGAUAAACUGCAGUACGCUGCUCUCGAUUUCGACAAGAGAGGGAAGGCAGGAAGACAGAGAAGCUCCAAAGACACUGUCUACUCUGGACUGAGACAGUAACACAAGGACUGACACUUGAAUUUGGCCAUCUUGUGUUGAUUUUUCUGUGUCAUCCUGUGGGUAAAAAUACAUGAAAUAAAUGUAACUUCAAUUAAGUGAAG